UUCACAUUCACUUGCAUGCCCUCCUUUAUAUUAAUGGAGAAGACAAAUAAAGCUUUCUAAUGGGACAAAACCAAUGUCUAAUGGAAUGAGAUCCCCUUAUUUGAUAAUUUUAGGGUACAAUUACACUCUUUUGUCUCUCGAAUUAAUUGUACCAAAUUUAAAUUGGUGUAAUAAAAAUGAAAAAGGAUAAAUGUGCAUUCAU
rnacentral:lncRNA from 1 species